rnacentral:lncRNA from 1 species
AAUGAGCGAACGUGGCAGGUGUGUUUCACUGUUUUUUAUUUGUUCGGUUGUUGUGGAGCCGUCACGGGCUCACGGCCUCACCUCAGGAACCAUGGACGGAGGCUGGAGCCACGGAUCAGGACGCGGAGGGAUGGAAGGCUGGACCUCACAGAUCUAGUUUAGCAUUAGUGGCGAUCGUGCUGUUUCGUCUGCGAUCUCACGAUGUUGCUUUUUAUAUCCUCCACGACAUGGACGGGAAAAGCAACAGUCAGUGUCCCGGUGGCGGCUGUGGCUGGAAAUCGCCACCACCGCCAACUGUCGCCUCCGGGCUAUCAAUAAUCAUGAC